rnacentral:rRNA from 1 species
GACAGAGGGUGCAAGCGUUGUUCGGAAUCAUUGGGCGUAAAGCGCGCGUAGGCGGUUUUGCAAGUCGGAUGUGAAAUCCCGGGGCUCAACCCCGGAAGUGCAUCCGAUACUGCGAGACUUGAGUCCCGGAGAGGGUGGUGGAAUUCCUGGUGUAGAGGUGAAAUUCGUAGAUAUCAGGAGGAACACCGGUGGCGAAGGCGACCACCUGGACGGAGACUGACGCUGAGGUGCGAAAGCGUGGGUAG